CAGUCGCCGCGGUAAUACGUAGGUCCCGAGCGUUGUCCGGAUUUAUUGGGCGUAAAGCGAGCGCAGGCGGUUAGAUAAGUCUGAAGUUAAAGGCUGGGGCUUAACCAUAGUAUGCUUUGGAAACUGUUUAACUUGAGUGCAGAGGGGGAGAGUGGAAUUCCAUGUGUAGCGGUGAAAUGCGUAGAUAUAUGGAGGAACACCGGUGGCGAAAGCGGCUCUCUGGUCUGUAACUGACGCUGAGGCUCGAAAGCGUGGGGAGCAAACAGGAUUAGAUACCCGCGUAGUCCCUGUCUCUUAUACA
rnacentral:rRNA from 1 species